rnacentral:rRNA from 1 species
GGUGAACGCUGGCGGUAGGCCUAACACAUGCAAGUCGAACGGCAGCACAGUAAGAGCUUGUUCUUACGGGUGGCGAGUGGCGGACGGGUGAGGAAUACAUCGGAAUCUACUUUUUCGUGGGGGAUAACGUAGGGAAACUUACGCUAAUACCGCAUACGACCUACGGGUGAAAGCAGGGGAUCUUCGGACCUUGCGCGAUUGAAUGAGCCGAUGUCGGAUUAGCUAGUUGGCGGGGUAAAGGCCCACCAAGGCGACGAUCCGUAGCUGGUCUGAGAGGAUGAUCAGCCACACUGGAACUGAGACACGGUCCAGACUCCUACGGGAGGCAGCAGUGGGGAAUAUUGGACAAUGGGCGCAAGCCUGAUCCAGCCAUACCGCGUGGGUGAAGAAGGCCUUCGGGUUGUAAAGCCCUUUUGUUGGGAAAGAAAAGCAGCAGGUUAAUACCCCGCUGUUCUGACGGUACCCAAAGAAUAAGCACCGGCUAACUUCGUG